CAAAGAGGGCCAACAGCGUUCAGGACAGCGAAGGAAGGCAAGCCCCCAAGGCUCAGAGUUGGGGAAUUUUGCUGCUUGAAAUACGGCUGUACUCGCCCGCUUUCAAUCGAAGAGUGUUACAGGAAGGAAGCCUCCAUCUGAGUUUUCUCGGCUCUGACGGUCUAUUCCCAAAUGCUGCGACAUAUGCGCAGCUUUUGCAAAUGCGGAUGGGAAUUGGCUUGAACUGGCGUGGAGUGAAGUUAGACACCGAGUGCGCGCACCCUAAGUGAGCCGAGCCACUUUCUUCUUCCAAUCUGGGCGCCGACACAAAACAGCACCGCUCAAAACUCGUUUGCCCUUCGCGGACUGGAUCGUUUCUGUGCCGUCCCGGAGGAGUAAAGGAAAAUGAGCUACACAGAGGGAGGCAUCCUCUGCGGCUUGGACGCGCCCCUUGUGCUCCGCUCUGUUUUAACAGCUGCACUUCGAAAUAGGGAAUGUUCUGGAACUGCAUAGAAAGCAACGUAGGAGCCGUCGAGGCCAGGAAGCCCAGCCUUGUGGAAGCUGGGGUCCGCCUCAGGUUGAGGGGUUUGUGUGGUUGAGCACCUGUGUGUGUGUGUGCGUGCGUGUGUGUGUGUGUGUGUGUGCUGAGCCCUGUCUUUGUACCCUGGGAGAUGGAGUUCUGAAGGGGGCAUUUCUCCUGCCAAAAUACACACACAGCCUGGGAUUAAAAGGGCUGAAACCUACCAGCAAGUUCUUACCGCCCUCCCACCAUCAUUACACCAAA